UAUGACCAUAUCAUGUUGAAACAUUGGUUCUUGUCUGAUUACUGAAGUUAAGCAACAUCGAGCCUCAUCAGUACCUAAAUAGAUGACCACUUGGGAAUACCAGGUGCCGUAA